UACGUAGGAUGCAAGCGUUGUCCGGAAUUAUUGGGCGUAAAGAGUUCGUAGGCGGUUGCCUAAGUCUGGUGUUAAAUACAGGAGCUCAACUCCUGCAUGGCACUGGAAACUGGGCGGCUAGAGUGUGGUAGAGGUCACGGGAAUUCCAGGUGUAGCGGUGAAAUGCGUAGAUAUCAGGAGGAACACCGGUGGCGAAGGCGGGUCUCUGGGCAGUAACUGACGCUGAGGAGCGAAAGCGUGGGGAGCGAACAGG
rnacentral:rRNA from 1 species